CCUACGGGUGGCAGCAGUGGGGAAUAUUGGACAAUGGGCGAAAGCCUGAUCCAGCCAUGCCGCGUGUGUGAAGAAGGCCUUCGGGUUGUAAAGCACUUUCAGUGGGGAAGAAAGCCUUGGGGCUAAUACCCUCGAGGAAGGACAUCACCCACAGAAGAAGCACCGGCUAACUCCGUGCCAGCAGCCGCGGUAAUACGGAGGGUGCGAGCGUUAAUCGGAAUUACUGGGCGUAAAGCGCGCGUAGGCGGUCUGAUAAGCCGGUUGUGAAAGCCCCGGGCUCAACCUGGGAACGGCAUCCGGAACUGUCAGGCUAGAGUGCAGGAGAGGAAGGUAGAAUUCCCGGUGUAGCGGUGAAAUGCGUAGAGAUCGGGAGGAAUACCAGUGGCGAAGGCGGCCUUCUGGACUGACACUGAUGCUGAGGUGCGAAAGCGUGGGUAGCAAACAGGAUUAGAUACCCUAGUAGUC
rnacentral:rRNA from 1 species